GAACCGCCAAGGCCCAUUUUAUACAGUUCUGGGGAUGGAACCCUGGGCUUCAUGCAUGCUAGGCCUCUGAUGAUGGUACUCGCCCUUACAACCACACUCCGCUCAGACUGGGGAUACCAUGGAGCCAUGCUGGGUCGUUCUGAAGCCCCAAACAGACAGACUUCAGAGAACUGGAAACAGUAGCUCCCAUUCUGUUAUGACUACAAACGGAAAGCCAACUGAAGACCCGAACACUCCCUAGAGCAUUUGGCCUUUUCUAAAUGUGACAUCAGGAGGAAACAAUAACGUAGCCUAAGCUUGAACUAAACUGAAUGCCCUCAGUA